UUUGCAUUUAACGCCUGUGAGGAUGAGAACCUCCGGGGGUGGAGGUUCGACUCGAGCGCAGCGAGAGAACGUUGCUUAUGCAACGGCCCGCAGGGCGCGUCACGCAGUGAGGUGUAAUCCUCUGGCACCGACCA
rfam:Cronobacter sp. DJ34 Bact_Masurca_120, whole genome shotgun sequence.